AGAGUUUGAUCCUGGCUCAGGAUGAACGCUGGCGGCGUGCUUAAUACAUGCAAGGUCGAGCGAACAGACGAAGGAGCUUGUCCUCUGACGUUUAGCGGCGGACGGGUGAGUAACACGUGGAUAAACCUACCUAUAAGACUGGGAUAACUUCGGGAAACCGGAGCUAAUACCGGAUAAUAUAUUGAACCGCAUGGUUCAAUAGUGAAAGACGGUUUUGCUGUCACUUAUAGAUGGAUCCGCGCCGCAUUAGCUAGUUGGUAAGGUAACAGCUUACCAAGGCAACGAUGCGUAGCCGACCUGAGAGGGUGAUCGGCCACACUGGAACUGAGACACGGUCCAGACUCCUACGGGAGGCAGCAGUAGGGAAUCUUCCGCAAUGGGCGAAAGCCUGACGGAGCAACGCCGCGUGAGUGAUGAAGGUCUUCGGAUUCGUAAAACUCUGUUAUUGGGAAGAACAAAUGGUGUAAGUAACUAUGCACGUUCUUGACGGUACCUAAUCAGAAAGCCCACGGCUAAAUUACGUGCCAGGCAGCCGCGGU
rnacentral:rRNA from 1 species